GGGGCUGUAGCUCAGCUGGGAGAGCGCAGGGUUCGCAUCUCUGAGGUCGUGGGUUCGAUCCCCAUCAGCUCCA
rnacentral:tRNA from 1 species